rnacentral:rRNA from 1 species
AACGAACGCUGGCGGCAUGCCUAACACAUGCAAGUCGAACGAAACCUUCGGGUCUUGUGGCGCACGGGUGCGUAACGCGUGGGAACCUGCCCUUAGGUUCGGAAUAACUCCCCGAAAGGGGUGCUAAUACCGGAUAAUGUCUUCGGACCAAAGAUUUAUCGCCUUUGGAUGGGCACGCGUUGGAUUAGCUAGUUGGUAGGGUAAAAGCCUACCAAGGCGACGAUCCAUAGCUGGUCUGAGAGGAUGAUCAGCCACACUGGGACUGAGACACGGCCCAGACUCCUACGGGAUGCAGCAGUGGGUAAUAUUGGACAAUGGGCGAAAGCCUGAUCCAGCAAUGCCGCGUGAGUGAUGAAGGCCUUAGGGUUGUAAAGCUCUUUUACCCGGGAUGAUAAUGACAGUACCGGGAGAAUAAGCUCCGGCUAACUCCGUG